GAUCCGGCAAUACCGAGUGAGUGAUGAAGGCCCUAGGGUUGUAAAGCUCUUUUAGCAAGGAAGAUAAUGACGUUACUUGYAGAAAAAGCCCCGGCUAACUCCGUGCCAGCAGCCGCGGUAAGACGGAGGGGGCUAGCGUUGUUCGGAAUUACUG
rnacentral:rRNA from 1 species